GCCCUUGUAGCUCAGCYGGUAGAGCAAUUGAUUUGUAAUCAAUAGGUCCGCGGUUCGAAUCCGUGCGGGGGCACCA
rnacentral:tRNA from 1 species